UUAAGUUGGAUGUGAAAUCCUAUGGCUCAACCAUAGAACUGCAUCCAAAACUGAGGGGCUAGAGUCUGGGAGGGGAAGAUGGAAUUAGUGGUGUAGGGGUAAAAUCCGUAGAGAUCACUAGGAAUACCAAAAGCGAAGGCGAUCUUCUGGAACAGUACUGACGCUGAGGCGCGAAAGCGUGGGGAGCAAACAGGAUUAGAUACCCUGGUAGUCCACGCCCUAAACUAUGAGUGUUAGUCGUCGGAAGGCUCGUCCUCUCGGUGAUGCAGCUAACGCAUUAAACAUUCCGCCUGGGGAGUACGGUCGCAAGAUUAAAACUCAAAGGAAUAGACGGGGACCCGCACAAGUGGUGGAGCAUGUGGUUUAAUUCGAAGAUACGCGAAGAACCUUACCUGGCCUUGACAUUGAUAGAAUCUGCUAGAGAUAGCGGAGUGCCCUUCGGGGAGCUUGAAAACAGGUGCUGCACGGCUGUCGUCAGCUCGUGUCGUGAGAUGUUGGGUUAAGUCCCGCAACGAGCGCAACCCUCGUCACUAGUUACUAACGGUUCGGCCGAGGACUCUAGUGAGACUGCCUUCGUAAGGAGGAGGAAGGUGAGGACGACGUCAAGUCAUCAUGGCCCUUACGGCCAGGGCGACACACGUGCUACAAUGGGAUGUACAAUGAGACGCAAUACCGCGAGGUGGAGCAAAUCUAUAAAGCAUCUCUCAGUUCGGAUUGUAGUCUGCAAC
rnacentral:rRNA from 1 species